CUCAGCCAUAAAAAAGAAUGAAAUAAUGCCAUUUGCAGCAACAUGGAUGCAACUAGAGAUUAUCAUAACUUUUGUUUUUUAAUUCAAUUUGAAGACUAUAAAGUACCCAUUAUGUAUCAGGUGCUGUGCCUGGUACUGAGGAUACAAAAAUGACAGACAACCUGGAACUCAAGUUGCUCACAAUAUAUGAGGAAGGCAAUUAAGUUCAUAAUACGUCGAGAAAUUAUAAAAGAAAGCUCACACUGCACCUCUACCUCUCCUACACGUUCUCACUUACACCACAUUCUUUGAGGAAAGAAAAUACAGUUUCAGGUUGGGUGUUUCUUUUGAUGCUAAGAUGCUUUAAAGGUAAGUGUAGAAAAUGAGAGAAAUAAAUGUUUAUUCCUUUCCCAUCUGGAUUUUGCAAAGCAAACUACAAGAGAAAACAGUCCAUUCUCAAUCAGUGUGCAUUUGUUCCCUCCUGUCUCUCUCAUUCUGCUCAGGAUUAAA